UGCGUAGGCGGAUAAAUAAGUCAGUGGUGAAAUCUUUCGGCUCAACCGGGAAACUGCCAUUGAUACUGUUUAUCUUGAGUUCGGUAGAGGUAGGCGGAAUGUGUAAUGUAGCGGUGAAAUGCUUAGAUAUUACACAGAACACCAAUUGCGUAGGCAGCUUACUAGACCGACACUGACGCUGAGGCACGAAAGCGUGGGUAGCGAACAGGAUUAGAUACCCUGGUAGUCC
rnacentral:rRNA from 1 species